GGGCCAAGGGGUCCUCCUGGAGAUACUGGUAGACCAGGUAUGUCAAGACCUGGUCUGAGAGGUCCCCCAGGAUUUCCUGGGCCAAAAGGAAUAAAAGGGGAGAAAGGACAACCUGGCAUGCACAUUGUGGGCCCUCCAGGACUACCUGGGAUUCCUGGCAGACCUGGUUCUGUUGGGUUGCCAGGUCCCCCUGGGGAACCAGGUAGAAUAACAUUUAGAACUGGCCUACCAGGUCUUCCUGGAGAGCCAGGCUGUGUGGGACCUCCAGGAUAUCCAGGAGAUACUGGCAUG